UGGGGAAUAUUGCACAAUGGGCGCAAGCCUGAUGCAGCCAUGCCGCGUGUAUGAAGAAGGCCUUCGGGUUGUAAAGUACUUUCAGUCGGGAGGAAGGUGGUAAGGUUAAUAACCUUAUCAAUUGACGUUACCGACAGAAGAAGCACCGGCUAACUCCGUGCCAGCAGCCGCGGUAAUACGGAGGGUGCAAGCGUUAAUCGGAUUUACUGGGCGUAAAGCGCACGCAGGCGGUUGAUUGAGUCAGAUGUGAAAUCCCCGGGCUUAACCCGGGAAUUGCAUCUGAUACUGGUCAGCUAGAGUCUUGUAGAGGGGGGUAGAAUUCCAUGUGUAGCGGUGAAAUGCGUAGAGAUGUGGAGGAAUACCGGUGGCGAAGGCGGCCCCCUGGACAAAGACUGACGCUCAGGUGCGAAAGCGUGGGGAGCAAACAGG
rnacentral:rRNA from 1 species